rnacentral:rRNA from 1 species
UACAGAGGUCUCAAGCGUUGUUCGGAUUCAUUGGGCGUAAAGGGUGCGUAGGCGGCGCGGUAAGUCGGGUGUGAAAUCUCGGGGCUUAACUCCGAAACUGCAUUCGAUACUGCCGUGCUUGAGGACUGGAGAGGAGACUGGAAUUUACGGUGCAGCGGUGAAAUGCGUAGAUAUCGUAAGGAAGACCAGUGGCGAAGGCGGGUCUCUGGGACGGUACUGACGCUGAGACGCGAAAGCGUGGGGAGCGAACAGG